ensembl:processed_transcript
CCAAAGCACCUGAUCGCGAUUCACGCCCACUUUUACACGACUGACUGACGUCCCAGUGUGUUUACAAUUAUCUCAAUGUUCGGGGACUUGUAGGACAAUAUAGGUAACAUUUAUUCAUCGCUUAAAGCACAUUUAGAAUGUCGAAAAAUUACAACUUUAUACAAGAAGCCUGUUUGGUAUAAUAUGAUAUGCAUAUAGCCACAAUCUGUGAUUAAAAUGAAAGCGAAAGUGUUUUGUGUUACGUCAUCAAGGAAGUAAAAGUGGCGUUCUCUGUUUAAGUUUAGGCACAGUGACAACACAAAGGAACCGCAGUCUCUGAACGGAGCAUCCAAAGGUUACUGGCUUCUUAAAUCGUCGGACAAUUGCAAAAAUGCCGGUGGAAUUCAGUGGAUGGGAGGCAUAUUGUGAUAAAUCAAAGCACCUUAAGCCAGGUCAAGAACCCAAAAAGAAUCAUGGCUACAUUAUGUACCACGGGACUCUCAAAAGCAAUGCCCCAGCCAUCAUAUCAACAGGAUUUCGUCCCUCUUCUGGGGGAACUCUGGGCCCCGGAGUCUACUGUAGUAGAGACAUUAACAAAGCAAUGGGUUACCCAGCAUGUGCUCCCAAUGACCGAGUCGUGUUAAAGCUGCGAGUGAGAGUUGGUAAAGUGAAGAGGAUUGACAGCCAAAGUCUUAACAUGUGGACAUCAUGGCAUCAGAACGGAUAUGAUACGGCCUGGUUACCUGCCACUGGCUCUUUUGUGGCACUUGAGGAGGAUUGUGUUUGGGACCCAAACAGAAUUACUGUGACUGGAAUAGCCCAUUGCACAGACCCCAGUACUAAGGCUUCCCUGGAGAGUCUCAUAAAGCAGAAAAGCCAAUCCCAAGACCCGAAUGGGAAAGGCAUGAAGCUGUGU